GACGAACGCUGGCGGCGUGCCUAAUACAUGCAAGUCGAACGCAGUGGGGACGGGUGAGUAACACGUGGGUAACCUCCCAUCAGAGGGGAUAACACUUGGAAACAGGUGCUAAACCCAUACUGAUGGAUGGACCCGCGGUGCAUAACCUAGUUGGUGAGGUAACGGCUCACAAAGGCCACGAUGCAUAGACGUCCUGAGAGGGGGAUCGGCCACACGGGAACUGAGACACGGGCCAGACUCCUACAGGAGGGAGCAGUAGGGAAUUGUCGGCAAUGGACGAAAGUCUGACCGAGCAACGCCGCGUGAGUGAAGAAGGUCGUCGGAUCGUAAAACUCUGUUGUGAGAGAAGCGGUAUCUAACCAGAAAGCCACGGCUAACUACGUGCCAGCAGCCGCGGUAAUAC
rnacentral:rRNA from 1 species